rnacentral:rRNA from 1 species
AUGCCCUGUCCCGCCGCGACCCCGACCCCGACUCGGACGCCAUCUCCCCCGCGGGGGCGGCCCUCUGCAUCCGUUCGGGGCCCUCCUUCGCCCUCAUUGACGACAUCCGCCGGCAUUAGAGCACCUGUGACACAGCCUGAUGUUCAGAAUCUUAAGAUGGCCUUGUCUUCUAUCACGAAUGGCACUGAAUUAGAGAAUGUUCUGGACAAAUCAAGCAGCGCAGCAGCAAACACAGUAAAGAAGAAAGGCCAGAAAAUUAAUAACCAUCCAGGAAAUUGCAUUGAAAAGGGUCUGACAAAGAAGCAGAAAGUGCACUCCGAAGAGCCUACAGUGCAAUAUGGUUUGAUAGAUGAUCUUGUCAAGUCUGGAAAUGCUAUUUCAGGGCUUGGAGGCUCCUCCAAACAUUAUCAUGUCUGA